UCGGGAAUUUUGGGCAAUGGGGGAAACCCUGACCCAGCAACGCCGCGUGAAGGAUGAAGUAUUUCGGUAUGUAAACUUCGAAAGAAUAGGAAGAAUAAAUGACGGUACUAUUUAUAAGGUCCGGCUAACUACGUGCCAGCAGCCGCGGUAAUACGUAGGGACCAAGCGUUGUUCGGAAUUACUGGGCGUAAAGCGCGUGUAGGUGGUCGAGUAAGUCGAAUGUGAAAGCCCCGGGCUCAACCCGGGAAGUGCAUCCGAAACUGCUCGACUAGAGUCCCGGAGAGGAAGGCAGAAUUCCCAAUGUAGGGGUGAAAUCCGUAGAUAUUGGGAGGAAUACCGGUGGCGAAGGCGGCCUUCUGGACGGUGACUGACACUCAGACGCGAAAGCGUGGGGAGCAAACAGGAUUAGAUACCCCCGUAGUCCCUGAGCGGGCUGGCAAGGCGCAU
rnacentral:rRNA from 1 species